AUGCUGCCAUCCAAGUACAGAGAAUUCAAGUGUCUUGUCCUGUUUCUAUGGACCUUCAUGAUAAUCGGCAUGAGCCGAGAAGAUUCCGUAUCUCAAGAGUUUUCAUCGGUCAACUUGAAAAUGGGCCAUAGGUUUGAAGAUAACUGUAACUAUUCCACAACAGCUCAGUUUUAUCACUUGUACUGGUACCAACAGUACUCGGGUAAAACACCCGAAAUGGUUCUUUGGCGGAGUGCUUCAAACAGCAACGGCAAAGGGAAGGACAUCAGCAAACGUUUUUCUUCUAAAAUGAAUAAACUUGACAAAAGAUUCUUCAUAACCAUCAGUGAUGUUCAGCUAGAUGACUCCGCAAUGUACUGCUGUGCUUUCUCUCUCUCUCGUCACGCUACACCACCAUGA